rnacentral:lncRNA from 1 species
CCCUUACUGUGAUUUGCAAGUUCAACACGAGCUGGAGAGUCUUAGCAACCUGCCCUGAGCACAAUCAGCUUCACUGUCUGCACUUACGGCCCGGAUGCUGCCUGUGGGAAGAAGCCUGGACUGUGCCAGUGCUUGAGAACAGCGCUCUGGCAAGGGCCAGGCGCUGCAGGUAUCUGGUUACUCAGAGCCUUCCUUGAGGGCAGGGAACACGGCUUGACCCUUGACUCUUCAGACUUAUCUGGUGGUGCUCAAGCCAGGCUAUUGGCAGGGAAUGCUCCACGUGCACGAGGGACGGCUGAGCCAGAGCAUCACACCAGAAAAAUUCAGUCAGCUAGAGACUGCGAGGACAGAUCCAGAGAGGAACCAAAACCACAGAGCUGGGCCUGGAUUUAACACCAGCUCCCUACAAAGUACAGCAAGGAAGAGGAUGGAGGAGCGUGGUGGCACGGUUCGUGAAGGCGGACAGCCGGGCAGAAUGGGAAUGCUAAUUAAUUAG